AUUGAACGCUGGCGGCAGGCCUCACACAUGCAAGUCGAACGAGUGGCGGACGGGUGAGUAAUGUCUGGGAAACUGCCCGAUGGAGGGGGAUAACUACUGGAAACGGUAGCUAAUACCGCAUACCAUCGGAUGUGCCCAUAUGGGAUUAGCUUGUAGGUGAGGUAACGGCUAACCUAGGCGACGAUCCCUAGAUGGUCUGAGAGGAUGAACAGCGAAACUGGAACUGCGACACGGUCCAGACGCCUAAGUGAGGCAUCAGGGGGGAAGAUUGGACAAUGGGCGCAAGCCUGAUGCAGCCAUGCAGCGUGUAGGAAGAAGGCCUGCGGGUUGUAAAGUACUUUCAGCGGAGAGGCGUUACCCGCAGAAUAAGCACCGGCUAACUCCGUGCCAGCAGCGGCGGUAAUAC
rnacentral:rRNA from 1 species